rnacentral:lncRNA from 1 species
AGAGGAGGAGAGAGAGUGGAUAACGCGAGGAGAAAUAGAGCGAAACCUGUACUUACAGUACGCUGUGUCCAGCCCAGAGUACGCUGUGUCCAGCCCAGAGGUGAGAGCCAUUCAAAGCAAACUAACUGUGCUAUUGUGCCCAAGUUGAUACCUGUGGAGAGAAAAGGAGAGAGAGUGGGUAACACGAGGAGAGACCGAGGAAACCUGUACUUACGCCGCUGCCUGUGGAGAAAGAGAAAGCGAGUGAGCACCCAAGGAACGAACUGUGUGAACCAGUACUUACUGUGAGCUGCAAUCAGCGAAGAGGUGAAAGCCAUCCAAAGCAGAGUAACUGUAUUUUGUGUCCAAGUUGAUACCUGUAGAGAGGAGGAGAGAGAGUGGGUAACACGAGGAGAGACCGAGGAAACCUGUACUUACGCCGCUGCCUGUGGAGAAAGAGAAAGCGAGUGAGCACCCAAGGAACGAACUGUGUGAACUAGUACUUACUGUGAGCUGCAAUCAGCGAAGAGGUGAGAGCAAUACCAAGCCGAAUUAACUGUGCCUUUGCGUCCCAGCCGUUGCCUGUGGAGGAAGAGAAAGAGAGUGAGCACCCCGAGAACGAACUGUGUGAACCAGUACUUACCGUGAGUUGUAUUCAGCGAAGAGGAGGAAGAAGGAGGGCGCUACGGAUACCUAAGACUCUGGCCGGGCCCCGAGUCCCACGCCCCGGAUCCCCGUGGCCCCCUUGCUCCCUGACCUCUUCCCGGCCAUAGCCCAUCUGGAGGGCCGAGUCAGAGUUUAGUUUUAAUUGCCCUUUCCCUAUUCCCCAAGCUAUUUUUAAAUAUUUAAAUAAAGAUUGUUUUAUCACUUACUUGUUCUCGUGUUGUUUGGCCAUUGGGUUGGCUUUGGGGACCUCCUCGAGGUGGAAGUUGAAAAGGGGUGUGGCUUAGUCAAAGCAUAGCCGCCCCUGGGUGUGACAUUUGCAACCUGUGGAGUGCAUUGUCGAAGGACUAACAGAUGAGCAAACUGCAUACACACAUACAUAGACUUAAGAAGAUGCACACAACACUAGUGCAAAGAACAAUGGAUUAAGUUAUUAAGAGUUUAAGUAUUUAAAAGUUGCCUAAGAAGAGCGGUUGUAACGGUUCCCAGAGAAUUUUCAUUGUAAGGUUGUGCAUUUGCAACGUGUGUGUGAUAAGCGUUUAAUUUGUUUGCACACAUUUACUUUAAGAUUGCAAUUUAUACAUUUAAAGGUUUUAUUGAAUUUUCUAGAUUUCUAAAUGAGAAGUGUAUUGUAAAUGAUAUUGAUUUAUUUAUAUCAAUCUUUUCAAGGGUUUGAGAUGUUUAUAUUGAGUGUUUAAACAUAAUAUUUGAGUUGAAAGGUUAUCUUGAAC